rnacentral:rRNA from 1 species
UACGGAGGGUGCAAGCGUUGUUCGGAAUUACUGGGCGUAAAGCGCGCGUAGGCGGUUUGUUAAGUCAGAUGUGAAAGCCCAUGGCUCAACCAUGGACGUGCAUUUGAAACUGGCAGACUUGAGUUCGAGAGAGGUGAGUGGAAUUCCGAGUGUAGAGGUGAAAUUCGUAGAUAUCGGGAGGAAUACCAGUGGCGAAGGCGACCACCUGGCCAAAUACUGACGCUGAGGUGCGAAAGCGUGGGGAGCAAACAGG